rnacentral:ncRNA from 2 species
UGUGGGAGCGAGCUUGCUCGCGAUAGCGGUAUGUCAGCUGCAUAAAUUUCGGCUGAUCCACCGUGAUCGCGAGCAAGCUCGCUCCCACA